UUUAUAAAAGUUAUAAGCACAAACACUUCAAUUUUCAUCUUGUCUCGUUUUCUAUAAAUUGCACCUCAUCCAAUAAACACAAGUUUUUUCGUAGAUAUUUGGUUUUGCAAGUUUCAUUGGCAAAGGAAUCAUGUGCAUAUUUUCAAAAAAUUUUAGAGGAUUUUAAUACGUGCCAAUUUGAAGAAUAUGAUGGUUGAUUGUAAAUGUAGUUCUUAAGAGUUAAGAGUUUCCCAUAAUAUCAGACGGAUCAACUUUCAUGGCUAUAAAUAUCUCAGGAUGGCACGGCAAAGAAGAAUACGAUUCAUUUGAAUAGAUUGUUCAUCAUUGAUUUUAUCAACGCUCGAACCGAAAAUGUUUUUAUACUGAGCCACAGGACCAUCGUGUAUGUAACGUGAUGUGAGCGUAAAUAAAAGGGUUUAAAAGGUA